rnacentral:lncRNA from 1 species
GGGUGAGGCUGUUUUUCUUAAAAAGUGUCAUUUGAAAAUAAACAGUGUUGCUAGCGUUUCUCUGAUUGCCCCAGGUCCCUAGGGAGCAGCAGCAGGCAGGCAGCGUCCGGGGGUCCAGGUGGCCAGGGUCUUCCAGCCAGGUUGGCCCCCCCGCCUCCCGGAACGGGCCCUGCCACUGAGAAGGCCCACCAGGGUGGGGCCUCCCUGACCGUACAGACGGCUCCAGAGGCUGGGUGCCCCUGUGGGCACCCAGGGCUGGGGAGGUGGCCGGGAAAGAGGGGGGUCUCCCUCGUCCCAGGGCAGGUCCAGGCAGGCCCAGCUAGUCUCACUGCCCAGGGGCUGCCUGGGGUUCCCGGAGGCCUGACACCUCUGUGUUACCUACACGCCCCGGGCUCUGGGGGGCCCAGAUCCCCACCCGCUGCCACCUCUGCUCUUGGAUUUUCAGUGAAUGGGGGUAGGAGGCUCCUUCCUGAGCUCCAGAACCUGAAGGCUCUGGGCUUCCUGGGGGCUGCCCUCCACCACACCCCCUGCCAAGCACAGCCUCCGCUAGGGCAACCACACUUUCUCCUCCUGGAAGCCAUGCCAGCUACCACCUUCCCAGGGUCAUCUGAACCUAGGCCAAACCAUGACCUCUGGGCGUCACAUCUCUCUCACCUGCCCGCUGCCCACUGCCCACAGGACGGUCAUGCUGUGACACGCUGGGCAGCUGUGAGCAAGCCCUGGGCUGUCAGUCUGGGGGGCGUGUGGACCCCCGCCGGCCUGAUGGCUUGGAAUCCUGCCGUGGCCCUGCGGCGUCUAGAAACGGUGCUCACUUGUCUCUCCCACACACACCCGCUUCUCCCCCUGGCUGGACAGGCCGGGGAAAAGGGAGCCAGCUUUGGUGCAUGGGCCCACCUCGGCCUGCUCGCAGGCCGUGCACCCCUUGUGGAAGCUGCCUGGGGUGGCACUUACUGGGGGGCCUCAUGGCCCCGAUGCCGCAUGGAGAUGCUAUGUGCCUCCCCCGCACCCCAGGGAGCUGGGAACCCGGCUGCAAGGCCCUCCCCACCGGACGGAACCCAGGGCCCCUGCUGAGCAGAGCAGUAGGCCUCAGAAAGAGAGGGUCCUCCUGGGUAAGAGUCGAGGGGCGUGGCCCACCGUGUCCCCCAGACACCGCACUGCUGUGACAGCGUGAAGCUGGGCUGUUCUGGGGGCACGGGCAGCAGGAGACCCCCACCCCACGCCAGGAGACCCUUGGGCUAGACGCAGCGUGAGGGACAUGGGAGGCGAGGUGGCCGACAGGCUGCCUGUCCACCCCCAGAGCAACUUUGCACGCUACCCUCCGCUGCGGAC